AGGGAAUAGUUCGAAUAUGAUGAUAAAAUAGAGAAGAGGAUGAGAUGCUUUUAUUCUUUAAUCACAAGGGGUUGACUUCUAUCUCUAAGGAACAAAGAUUAUAUGUAAUCCAUACUUUAAUGGGGCUCUGUUAUGAAUCAAAAGAAUCUGGUUUUGCCACUCAUAUCAAGAGCCAAGAUAUCAAAGGUCCCACAAAUUUCUUUUUUUCCAUUCUGUAUCUUUUCUUGCCUAUAAAUAGGCUGCUCUUAAAUCACUCAGUUUGCCAAUCACAUACAUAUUUAGCUCAUACAAUAAAUUAACUCUUCAGGGCAGUUAUUGUUGCCUCUCCCUCAUGGGCUUCUCUCCUGCAAUGUUUAGAGAGUAUGAUUUAAGGUUAAAGUAGAAAGCAUGCAGCGAAAGAAGCUCGAGCGGGGAGAGUCAAUAAGAAGUGUCUUGUUCAGUGCUCACAACUGGAUUUAGAAACUAUAUUACUCUUAACAGGGCAGUCUUUGUUCACUCUCCCUCAAGGGCUUCUGGCUUAAAAUGCCUUACUCUUUGGUUUGUGUUAGUGCCAGAGGUCUUUCGAGUGAGAGUGGAUAAAUUCUGCCAUGAUAUAUUGGUAGAAUUCUGACUCAACAAAGGAGCAAUUCUUCUCCCCUUGCCGCAAACAAAAGCAUGGUAUUUAAGUGGAGAAAUGUCGAGAGGCUAGCCAAUUAUCCACCAGGUUCCGAAACCUACGCCAUUGGCCUACUGGAAUUUGUCAGUUAUUAAAAAAAACACUAAUGUUCUUCUUCUGAUUAAUUGAUUCUAUUUUUCGAUGCAGUUUUGGUGGAUCAACUGUACAUCGGCUCAAAAAUGCCUCUAUGAUCGCAAGAGAAGACAAAUGAGUGAUGUAUUUUUCACCCUGAUUAUGAUUCUAAGGCCUAAAUUGAGUUGACCAGGGGCUGCUGUAAUUUCGUCUGCAUUAAUUACCUUUGGCUUGAAAUAUGUAUGUGUAGCCGAAAAUUUUAAAGUACCCCUCAUCACUAAGGAGUUGUAGGUGCAGUGAUCCACUGACUUGAAAUCUUGAAUCGGCCUCUUGAAGUUGAGAAGUGGCUGGCUGUAUUCUAUAUUCCUUUGUAAUUAUCAAACGUGCCCGAAAAUUUUAAGAUUCUGUCUCUGCAAGAAAACUUAUUACUACUUGUGUUUUGGAGCUUGAAGUCACUCAUAAGUGCUCAGUUGCCUUUUAAUCAGAUACGGCCUAAGGCUUAGCAAAAACGCUGACUGCAGAAACAGCUCAAAACUGCAAUAAGAAUGGGUAGACUGCGCUAAUAAUAUGGAUCAUAGUAACCACAU
rnacentral:lncRNA from 1 species